UACGGAGGGAGCUAGCGUUGUUCGGAAUUACUGGGCGUAAAGCGCGCGUAGGCGGUGACUCAAGUCAGAGGUGAAAGCCCGGGGCUCAACCCCGGAACUGCCUUUGAAACUAGGUCGCUAGAAUCUUGGAGAGGUCAGUGGAAUUCCGAGUGUAGAGGUGAAAUUCGUAGAUAUUCGGAAGAACACCAGUGGCGAAGGCGACUGACUGGACAAGUAUUGACGCUGAGGUGCGAAAGUGUGGGGAGCAAAACAGG
rnacentral:rRNA from 1 species